rnacentral:rRNA from 2 species
GGGUUGUGAGGUUAAGCGACUAAGCGUACACGGUGGAUGCCCUGGCAGUCAGAGGCGAUGAAGGACGUGCUAAUCUGCGAUAAGCGCCGGUAAGGUGAUAUGAACCGUUAUAACCGGCGAUUUCCGAAUGGGGAAACCCAGUGUGAUUCGUCACACUAUCAUUAACUGAAUCCAUAGGUUAAUGAGGCGAACCGGGGGAACUGAAACAUCUAAGUACCCCGAGGAAAAGAAAUCAACCGAGAUUCCCCCAGUAGCGGCGAGCGAACGGGGAGGAGCCCAGAGCCUGAAUCAGCAUGUGUGUUAGUGGAAGCGUCUGGAAAGGUGCGCGAUACAGGGUGACAGCCCCGUACACAAAAGCGCAUGUGCUGUGAGCUCGAUGAGUAGGGCGGGACACGUGGUAUCCUGUCUGAAUAUGGGGGGACCAUCCUCCAAGGCUAAAUACUCCUGACUGACCGAUAGUGAACCAGUACCGUGAGGGAAAGGCGAAAAGAACCCCGGCGAGGGGAGUGAAAAAGAACCUGAAACCGUGUACGUACAAGCAGUGGGAGCACAGGUUUACCUGUGUGACUGCGUACCUUUUGUAUAAUGGGUCAGCGACUUAUAUUCUGUAGCAAGGUUAACCGAAUAGGGGAGCCGGAGGGAAACCGAGUCUUAAUUGGGCGUUAAGUUGCAGGGUAUAGACCCGAAACCCGGUGAUCUAGCCAUGGGCAGGUUGAAGGUUGGGUAACACUAACUGGAGGACCGAACCGACUAAUGUUGAAAAAUUAGCGGAUGACCUGUGGCUGGGGGUGAAAGGCCAAUCAAACCGGGAGAUAGCUGGUUCUCCCCGAAAGCUAUUUAGGUAGCGCCUCGUGAAUUCAUCUCCGGGGGUAGAGCACUGUUUCGGCUAGGGGGCCAUCCCGGCUUACCAACCCGAUGCAAACUGCGAAUACCGGAGAAUGUUAUCACGGGAGACACACGGCGGGUGCUAACGUCCGUCGUGAAGAGGGAAACAACCCAGACCGCCAGCUAAGGUCCCAAAGUCAUGGUUAAGUGGGAAACGAUGUGGGAAGGCCCAGACAGCCAGGAUGUUGGCUUAGAAGCAGCCAUCAUUUAAAGAAAGCGUAAUAGCUCACUGGUCGAGUCGGCCUGCGCGGAAGAUGUAACGGGGCUAAACCAU